GGUCGGUUAGCUCAGUUGGUUGGAGCAUGGGGCUGAUAACACCAAGGUCGCGGGUUCGAUCCCCGCUCGGUCCC
rnacentral:tRNA from 1 species